AUGUAUGUGCAGAGCAGAUCAGUAAAUUCUCUUUGGUUGAGGAUUCCUCUGGCUUCUUACUCUCAGCUCUCAGUGGUUUACCAAGGAAUUUCUUCUGAAUACACAGGUGCUUAUCCUAAGAGAUAUGGUGAGCUCAUAUUUCUCUGUCCUGUCAGUAGUGUUCUGUUCUCUUUCUUUCAAUCUUUGCUUUUCCAGAUUAUGCUGAGCCUUGUUUGUACUAUAUUGCAGUAUUGUGUAGUGUAUUUUAAUUAUUUUUAUAUGUAAAAGUGGCCCAUAACUUUUUCUAAACAAAAAGGCCAUUUCUAUUCUUUACAAGAGAUUUGCAAAUACAUUUUUGGUGCUUUGGUGUUUGUAAAUCAGUGAGUUGAUUUUAGUGAAUUAUC
rnacentral:lncRNA from 1 species